AACGCACAUGGCGCCUUCCAGUAUCCUGGGAGGCAUGCCUGUCCGAGCGUCGUUUCAACCCUCGAGCCCCCGUGGCCCGGCGUUGGGGAUCUGCCCAGGCAGUCCCCGAAAAUCAGUGGCGGACCCGUUACAGGCCCUUCCUUUGCGUAGUAGCAUUCGCCUCGCAUUGGGAGCCAGCGGGCUUCAGCCUCUAAACCCCCAUCAAGUCCGCCCCGGCGGCACCAAGGUUGACCUCGGAUCAGGUAGGAAUACCCGCUGAACUUAA
rnacentral:misc_RNA from 1 species